rnacentral:rRNA from 1 species
CCUACGGGAGGCAGUAGUGAGGAAUAUUGGUCAAUGGCCGGAAGGCUGAACCAGCCAUGCCGCGUGAGUGAAGAAGGUCUUCGGAUUGUAAAGCUCUUUCGGUCGUGAAGAAGAUGACGGUAGCGUCUCCAGAAGCACCGGCCAACUUCGUGCCAGCAGCCGCGGUAAUACGAAGGGUGCGAGCGUUGUUCGGAAUUACUGGGCGUAAAGGGAGUGUAGGCGGAUAGGUAAGAUAGCGGUGAAAGGCCGGGGCUCAACCCCGGAACUGCCAUUAUGACUGUGUAUCUAGAGUAAUGGUGAGGAUAGCGGAAUACGCGGUGUAGAGGUGAAAUGCGUAGAUAUUGGGAAGAACACCGGUGGCGAAGGCGGCUAUCUGGCCAUUUACUGACGCUGAGGCUCGAAAGCAUGGGGAUCAAACAGGAUUAGAUACCCCGGUAGUC